rnacentral:misc_RNA from 1 species
GAUGAAGAACGCAGCGAAAUGCGAUAAGUAAUGUGAAUUGCAGAAUUCAGUGAAUCAUCGAAUCUUUGGACGCACAUUGCGCCCCUUGGUAUUCCGAGGGGCAUGCCUGUUCGAGCGUCAUUAUAACCCCUCAAGCUCAGCUUGGUGUUGGGGCCUGCUGCACUGGCAGCCCUUAAAAUCAGUGGCGGCGCCAUCUGGCUCUAAGCGUAGUAAUUCUUCUCGCUAUGGAGUCCUGGUGGAUGCUUGCCAUCAACCCCCAAUUUUUCUAUGGUUGACCUCGGAUCAGGUAGGGAUACCCGCUGAACUUAAGCAUAUCAAUAAGCGGAGGA